rnacentral:tRNA from 1 species
GCCGCCGUAGCUCAGUGGUAGAGCAUCGGACGCGUUAUUCGAUGAUCGCAGGUUCGAUCCCUGCCGGCGGCA